GCUAUUCUUGCUGAUUGUUGAAAAUAUUUGCUUUGAUUAGUUGUGCAUGCAUAUUUUAAGAAGUAAAAAAUAUUAAAAUAUCAACGACUUUGAUUACUAUAAUUGAUUUAUAGAAUUAAUAUAAUUUCUGAAUGGGAUAGGAUCUAACUUUACUUAUUAGUUGGUGAUAUAAUGUAUUUAUUAUGUAAGUUAUUUUAAAUGAUAAAAUAAUUAGAUAGUAAUUAUCUUGUAUUUGUAUAUGCAGAAUCUGUAGAUAGUAUGCCAUGGACCCUAAGCCCUAAAAUCCUAAAUCCUAAAUUCUAAAAUUUUGAAACCCUAAACCGUAAACCC
rnacentral:lncRNA from 1 species